GUUUAUAACCUUGCUAAUAAGCUAAAGUGUUACUUAUGUUUGAUGAAUGAAAAGAUAUAAAGGAAAUAAUGAGGAACUUAAAUUUGAUGCUAUGUACAAUAUGUAUGUUUCAACUUGUUUACAACUCGCAAGGAGAGGUUGACGAAACAUGUCAAGUAGAUUGUGCAUGCUGUAUAGAUAGAAAAUGUGAAAAAGGGCAUUUUACUUCUACAGAUUGUACUCUAGGCUGUAUUGAUGGUCAUAGAGGUGCUCGGUGCUACUCGC